rnacentral:rRNA from 1 species
GACGAACGCUGGCGGCGUGCUUAACACAUGCAAGUCGAACGAUGAAGCCGGAGCUUGCUCUGGUGAAUUAGUGGCGAACGGGUGAGUAACACGUGAGUAACCUGCCCUUGACUCUGGGAUAACUGCGGGAAACUGUAGCUAAUACCGGAUACGACCCUCGGAGGCAUCUCCUGGGGGUGGAAAGAAUUUCGGUCAAGGAUGGACUCGCGGCCUAUCAGCUAGUUGGUGAGGUAAAGGCUCACCAAGGCGACGACGGGUAGCCGGCCUGAGAGGGGGACCGGCCACACUGGGACUGAGACACAGCCCAGACUCCGACGGGCGGCAGCAGUGGGGAAUAUUGCACAAUGGGCGCAAGCCUGAUGCAGCAACGCCGCGUGAGGGAUGACGGCCAUCGGGUUGUAAACCUCUUUUAGCAGGGAAGAAGCGAAAGUGACGGUACCUGCAGAAAAAGCACCGGCUAACUACGUGCCAGCAGCCGCCGUAA